rnacentral:rRNA from 1 species
AUUGAACGCUGGCGGCAGGCUUAACACAUGCAAGUCGAGCGGAGAUGAGGUGCUUGCACCUUAUCUUAGCGGCGGACGGGUGAGUAAUGCUUAGGAAUCUGCCUAUUAGUGGGGGACAACAUUCCGAAAGGAAUGCUAAUACCGCAUACGUCCUACGGGAGAAAGCAGGGGAUCUUCGGACCUUGCGCUAAUAGAUGAGCCUAAGUCGGAUUAGCUAGUUGGUGGGGUAAAGGCCUACCAAGGCGACGAUCUGUAGCGGGUCUGAGAGGAUGAUCCGCCACACUGGGACUGAGACACGGCCCAGACACCUACGGGAGGCAGCAGUGGGGAAUAUUGGACAAUGGGGGAAACCCUGAUCCAGCCAUGCCGCGUGUGUGAAGAAGGCCUUAUGGUUGUAAAGCACUUUAAGCGAGGAGGAGGCUACUGAGACUAAUACUCUUGGAUAGUGGACGUUACUCGCAGAAUAAGCACCGGCUAACUCUGUGCCAUCCGCCGCCGUAA